rfam:Bacteroidetes bacterium GWA2_32_17 gwa2_scaffold_28063, whole genome shotgun sequence.
AAAAAGUGGAGACCAGCGACCACUCAAAAAACGGGGCGACACCGAAAAGCCAGACGAGUAAGAAAACA